rnacentral:rRNA from 1 species
UAGGGAAUCUUCCACAAUGGACGCAAGUCUGAUGGAGCAACGCCGCGUGAGUGAAGAAGGUCUUCGGAUCGUAAACUCUGUUGUUAGAGAAGAACACGAGUGAGAGUAACUGUUCAUUCGAUGACGGUAUCUAACCAGCAAGUCACGGCUAACUACGUGCCAC